UACGUAGGGGGGCAAGCGUUGUCCGGAUUUACUGGGCGUAAAGAGCGUGUAGGCGGCCAUGCAGGUCCGUUGUGAAAACUGGAGGCUUAACCUCCAGACGUCGACGGAAACCGCGUGGCUAGAGUCCGGAAGAGGAGAGUGGAAUUCCUGGUGUAGCGGUGAAAUGCGCAGAUAUCAGGAAGAACACCCGUGGCGAAGGCGGCUCUCUGGGACGGUACUGACGCUGAGACGCGAAAGCGUGGGGAGCGAACAGG
rnacentral:rRNA from 1 species